CUAUCAGAGGGGAACAACAGUUAGAAAUGACUGCUAAUACCGCAUAUGCCAUGAGUAUCACAUGAUACAAAUGGGAAAGGAGCAAUCCGCUGAUAGAUGGGCUUGCGUCUGAUUAGAUAGUUGGUGGGGUAAUGGCCUACCAAGUCAACGAUCAGUAGCCGAACUGAGAGGUUGAACGGCCACAUUGGGACUGAGAUACGGCCCAGACUCCUACGGGAGGCAGCAGUCGGGAAUAUUGCGCAAUGGAGGAAACUCUGACGCAGUGACGCCGCGUGCAGGAAGAAGGUUUUCGGAUUGUAAACUGCUUUAGACAGGGAAGAAAAAGGACAGUACCUGUAGAAUAAGCUCCGGCUAACUACGUGCCAGCAGCCGCGGUAAUACGUAGGGAGCAAGCGUUAUCCGGAUUUAUUGGGUGUAAAGGGUGCGUAGACGGGAAGGCAAGUUGGUUGUGAAAUCCCUCGGCUUAACUGAGGAACUGCAACCAAAACUAUCUUUCUUGAGUGCUGGAGAGGAAAGUGGAAUUCCUAGUGUAGCGGUGAAAUGCGUAGAUAUUAAGAGGAACACCAGUGGCGAAGGCGACUUUCUGGACAGUAACUGACGUUGAGGCACGAAAGUGUGGGGAGCAAACAGGAUUAGAUACCCUGGUAGUCCACACCGUAAACGAAUGGAUACUAGGUGUAGGGGAUGAAUAAUCUUCUGU
rnacentral:rRNA from 1 species